AGUGAACGCUGGCGGCAGGCCUAACACAUGCAAGUCGAGCGGCAGCGGGUCCUUCGGGAUGCCGGCGAGCGGCGGACGGGUGAGGAAUGCAUCGGAAUCUGCCCUGUCGUGGGGGAUAACCUAGGGAAACUUAGGCUAAUACCGCAUACGACCCACGGGUGAAAGCGGGGGAUCGCAAGACCUCGCGCGAUCGGAUGAGCCGAUGUCCGAUUAGCUAGUUGGCGGGGUAAAGGCCCACCAAGGCGACGAUCGGUAGCUGGUCUGAGAGGAUGAUCAGCCACACUGGGACUGAGACACGGCCCAGACUCCUACGGGAGGCAGCAGUGGGGAAUAUUGGACAAAGGGCGCAAGCCUGAUCCAGCCAUGCCGCGUGGGUGAAGAAGGCCUUCGGGUUGUAAAGCCCUUUUGUCCGGGAAGAAAUCGUCUGGGCUAAUACCCCGGGCGGAUGACGGUACCGGAAGAAUAAGCACCGGCUAACUUCGUG
rnacentral:rRNA from 1 species